CGUGCUCACAGUAGAACAGGAAAACUUCAUAACUCGCGGACCGGAAAACGCUAAGACAGCUUUGAAUUCAGUACUGCUAAAAAAUAUAUUCAAUCCUUGGAGGAUCUCGACCAGCAGUUCUGAGAAACCGGAAAAGGUAGAUCCCGUCUGCAUUCGACUUUUUCCAACUGGGUGAUGUAUCGCAAGAUAUAUGGUAUUGGACUUAAUCGAUCUACUAGUUUGCAUCCAAAUCUGCCGAACGUUUGGUUGAGAUUGAAGGUGUGCUGUCCACCAACCGUAUUGGGGUUCAACGAGAAUACUCAAAAUAUUGCAAUCGAAAACCCACGUUGGGUGUUCCUUGAAAGUUUUUAACUUCACACCAAACGACGUUUUUGGAUGGACGGUUUUAACCAUAUUAUCCAGCAGUUUCGAAGAAAAAGUGCCAUAUUCUUCCCCCGCACAGGUGUUCCUUGCACCAUAUCGCAGCUAAGCUGAGUG